AAAUUGAAGAGUUUGAUCAUGGCUCAGAUUGAACGCUGGCGGCAGGCCUAACACAUGCAAGUCGAACGGUAACAGGAAGCAGCUUGCUGCUUCGCUGACGAGUGGCGGACGGGUGAGUAAUGUCUGGGAAACUGCCUGAUGGAGGGGGAUAACUACUGGAAACGGUGGCUAAUAUCGCAUAACGUCGCAAGACCAAAGAGGGGGACCUUCGGGCCUCUUGCCAUCAGAUGUGCCCAGAUGGGAUUAGCUAGUUGGUGAGGUAACGGCUCACCAAGGCGACGAUCCCUAGCUGGUCUGAGAGGAUGACCAGCCACACUGGAACUGAGACACGGUCCAGACUCCUACGGGAGGCAGCAGUGGGGAAUAUUGCACAAUGGGCGCAAGCCUGAUGCAGCCAUGCCGCGUGUAUGAAGAAGGCCUUCGGGUUGUAAAGUACUUUCAGCGGGGAGGAAGGUGUUG
rnacentral:rRNA from 1 species